AGAGAUACCGUAACUUUCAUUAUAGUCUAUUGUUAUAAUUGUUCCAUUUUAUUAUUAAUUAUUUUUGUUAAUCUCUUACUGGGCCUAAUUUAUAAAUUAAACUUUAUCAUGGAUAUGUAUGUAUAGGAAAAAACAUAGUAUAUAUAGGUUUGGUACUACCCGCGGUUUCAGCCAUCCACUGGGGUCUUGGAACAUAUUUCUCGUGGUUAAGGUGGACUGCUGUAUUGCUUCUAAUGACCUAGCCUUGUAGAUCACAUACUGUCACUUCUGCUCUAGCCACAGUGCUAUCCAGAGUCCAAGGAAAGGAAACAUAAACUUCACCUUCAGCUAGGAGGAAUGUCAAGUCAUCUUGUGAGAAGAGGAAGUGGAAUGGGAAGUAUUGUUGAAGCCAGUUUUGGAAAUUACAAUGUGCCACCCCAGAAAGAAUAAGAAAAUAUGGAUGAUGAGAACUGAAUUCAACAAAGCAGAAAGAGAAAUCCACAGAGAUGUUGAUAAGUAUUUCCUCAUAGAUGAACAAAACUUGGCCCACUAUACUGAAAAGAAAAGCAAAUGAAAACAACCAGGAUGUAAGAGCCAAGAGGCUCUGAUUUGGUGAUGCCAGAAUCGUCAUGUUUGCCAAAUGGAUGUUUGCCAAAGUGCUCCAUGAAACCAUCCGUCAAAGUAGGGAAAAAUUUACUACAAUCUGUUGGAAAAAGUUGUGUAUGACAGUAGAGGACACGGAUUGACUGUGGAAAACUUGAAGAUAAAUUUUUUUGCUGCAAUCCUAGACUACAAAUUUUUGUGUAAUGCAAUAUUGUGAUUAAAAGAAACGUUCUUACUACAUUGUGAAACCUGUAGAGUAGAAAUUACUCUUGGUAUGGAGAGUGAUCCACAUGUAAUUCCAUCCAAACAAAUUAUAAUAUUCUACCAGUGAAGCAGAAGCUGUAGUUAUCAAAAUUUAUACAAUGUAUAUAUAAUUCAUAAACCUGUUAAAGUUUUUGAACUACAAUGUUUUUGGAUGAAGAAGCAUGAAUAUCAAAUAGAGAAAAUGACUUCACCAUGUCAGGAUGCACUUUCUUUUGGUGCCCAUCAUAUAUUAGAGUUAAGAGAUAUUUCAGGCUUUGAGGAACUACUGUAUGCAACCACAGAAGUCUUUUUGUAAUGAUAUUAAAAUUAUUUUAUACUCAUAAAGAUAAAUGGAGUGAUGAUAGUUUCUCUCAUUUCAAUGCCAUGUUCAAGUUCUGUAAAAAUGUUCUUUUUUAACAUUAAAUUUGAAGGAAGAAGAUUCAUAUAAGUCAUCUCCUUGUCAUUUUAAGCACUUCAGCAUUUUUAUGAGUUGCUUUUCUCAUCGAUAACAUGGUAUAUAUUUCAGAACUUAUUUAGCUUGUUGUAUUAUUUCUUAAGCAGAAAAGAUUUAUAUUAGUAGAGAUUAUGUAAGAGGAAAGCAGUUACUUAAGAUACUGAAAUAAAAUACAGUUAAGAUGCUGGACGGCA
rnacentral:lncRNA from 1 species